rnacentral:rRNA from 1 species
UACGAAGGGGGCUAGCGUUGUCCGGAUUUAUUGGGCGUAAAGAGCUCGUAGGCGGCUUGGCAAGUCGGGUGUGAAACCUCCAGGCUCAACCUGGAGACGCCACUCGAUACUGCCAUGGCUAGAGUCCGGUAGGGGACCACGGAAUUCCUGGUGUAGCGGUGAAAUGCGCAGAUAUCAGGAGGAACACCGGUGGCGAAGGCGGUGGUCUGGGCCGGCACUGACGCUGAGGAGCGAAAGCGUGGGUAGCAAACAGG